ensembl:snRNA U6 U6 spliceosomal RNA
CUGUGGAGAUUAGCAUAGCCCCUGCACAAGGAUGACACUCAAAUUCGUAACUCAUUCCAUAUUUUG